rnacentral:rRNA from 1 species
AACGUAGGAGACAAACGUUAUCCGGAGUUACUGGGCGUAAAGGGCGUGUAGGUGGUAUCGUAAGUCUGGCGUGAAAUUUCUCGGCUUAACCGAGGCAGGUCGUCGGAUACUGCGAGGCUAGAGGACGGUAGAGGCGUGUGGAAUUCCGGGUGUAGUGGUGAAAUGCGUAGAGAUCCGGAGGACACCAGUGGCGAAGGCGACACGCUGGGCCGUACCUGACACUGAUGCGCGACAGCAUGGGGAGCGAACAGGG